AUAUCUUCAUUGUUGAUAAUCAUUUUUUUUAUAAGAUUGUUGAUUAUCAGUUGAUCCCACUGUUGUAGGAGAGCAUUGGUGGCAGUCAGCUAGGCUCUGCAAAUCAAGGUGAUACCCACAAUGGCAAUCGUUUGAAUACGAGAUAUCCAGCCUUUACAGACUGACCUACAAAUCAAAGGGCGAGUCUGCAAGGUGUGGAGAGUGAAGAAAUACAGACCUGUUCCUAGAAACAAUGGUCUUCAGUUUGUUUUAGUUAAUGAGAAGAACGAGGGAAUCCAAGGAUCUUUUCUAGAAGCAUACUACACCACAAUAAGGACUGGUAUAAUAAUCUGAAGUUUACCUUAUCUAUUCGAAAUGAGAUGUGGGAAAGGAAAGCAAAUCACUUCUACACACAAAAAGACAUUGAUCAGGUCCGGGCCGAGUGGGCAAAGUAUGUCAGCCAAUUUCAACCAAGCUAGUGUGUCGAGAAGAUUCUAAUUUUGGACAUGCAUCAUCUAUAACCCAUAUUAACUAGUUAUGCUGACAGGACCCGCCCCGGAUU